AUGGCCUGGACUCCUCUCCUCCUCCUGCUCCUCUCUCACUGCAUAGGUUCCCUCUCGCAGCCUGUGCUGACUCAGCCACCUUCCUUCUCCGCAUCUCCUGGAGAAUCCGCCAGACUCACCUGCACCUUGCCCAGUGACAUCAAUGUUGGUAGCUACAACAUAUACUGGUACCAGCUGAAGCCAAGGAGCCCUCCCAGGUAUCUCCUGUACUAUUACUCAGACUCAGAUAAGCACCAGGGCUCUGGAGUCCCCAGCCGCUUCUCUGGAUCCAAAGAUGCCUCGGCCAAUGCAGGGAUUUUACUCAUCUCCGGGCUCCAGUCUGAGGAUGAGGCUGACUAUUACUGUAUGAUUUGGCCAAGCAAUGCUUCUCACAGUGACACACACAGAUGGGGAAUGAAACACUCCAAAGUCAUUUGCCAGGAUCCCCUGCAGAUGGGCAUUCAGUGCUUGGAGGACAGACACCUUGGCAAGAUCCCUGUGCUGCAGGAUCCACAGAGGAAGGAGAGCUCUGGCCACCAGGAAGGAGCCACAUGA